ensembl:lncRNA
GCGGGACUCAAUAUGGCGGCGCGCGCUCGGCCGCUUGACCCCGGUGUCCCCUAAAGCGGGUAAGGGAUGAAACUUUCUCAUCUCGAGUCAUGCUGUUUUCGGAAACGUAGGGAUGCGUUUUAAUUUCUAUGCGCCACCCGUGGGUCGGCCCUCACCUGCGAGUCGGCUGACCGUGAACGACCCUCACUUGCUGUGCACCGGAAGGGCUUGGUCUUCUUGGCCUCUGUUUCCCGGAAGUGGUUUCCCUCCACCUCCUCAGGAGGGCCGGCCUUCCCUAAGGGCGGAGUCUAGGGCUUCUUUGGGACUGAAUAUGCAUUAGCUUUUGGAAGUCCAGCUUUGAUUUUCCCCUAAGCAUUGUUACAAAGGCCGGACUGCGGCUCUGGGCACCGUUCACAUCCUCGGCCGCCUUUGGCUUUGUGACCUUGGGCCGGUUGUAUAAGCUCUCUGAGCUUCCCAGGUGACUUCUCUGCAAAGUGGGCUGGUAACGCCCGAGUUGGUGCUAAAUCCUAAAGUUCAUGCUGCGAACCGGUCCCUCAACAGAUCAGCCUCUGUUUGGUCUGGUGGCAUGCCCCACAGGCUCCUGAGAGACGUGAGAAGCAGCUUUGUAUGGGAGCCACCUCUGCUCGCGUUUCCACCCAGAACCAAAGGACUGACCAUUCUUUCAAUCCCUAAGCAGUGUCUUUUCUAUCUAAUCCUAAUAACCAAGCCUGGAGGAAUUGUAGACUUUCUGGUUGAAGGUUCAACAGGUCUCCUCGUUUAAGGAUAGAGUAAGUCUCACUGAAGCUACAGAGGAGAAUCUGGAAAAUGCAAAUGUUACUACCUUAACCGAAAGAGGGAGGAGGGGACGCUUUCCUAAAUGGCCUUUACCUUGGACCUUUUCUUUCUCCUGGCAUUUGGGCUGCCAGGGAUCUUGCUUCUGCCCCACCAACACACUGAAAGCAAGAGCUCUUGACGUGAUGACUAAGGAAAAGAAUUUGGUUUUCAUUCGGAGACAGCUGAUUCUGAAGCCAUCUUAAAGCCUAAGCAUAGCACAACUGCAUUCAUGAUUCUAUGAAUUCUUUCCUACCAUUGGAACUUAGGGAAGGGGAGAGGAAGUGUGCAUCUAGGAAAUGUGGAAGGACAAGCUCUUCGUUCUUUCAUCCUUCCGCUGCCUUCUAACUCUGUGGUCGAGUGUGGUCUUCCCAGGAGAGCAUCUUCCAGGAAACUUAUUAGAAAGGAAGAACCCCAGGCCUCAUUUCACAUCUGAAGCAGAGUCUGCCUUGUAGCCAACUCCCCAGCCAUUGCUAGGCAUGCUAAAGUUGACGAGGCCCUGGUUUAACUCCUGGGGUGGUCUGGUUUAAAGUGAUGAGAUGGCAUCAAAGAUGACGGAAGGACAGAGUCCGCAGAGCCAGAAUUUGGGGCAGUGGAGGCAGAGAUUUCCUUUCCUGCAUUUGGGCACUGCCAGCAGGUUGAUUCAGAAGAUGGGUGAAAAAUUUGUUCCUGGGGUAGCAGGAGGAGCACCUUUGGAAUCUACUCACGGAGGUCUUCAGCAAGGUGAGGUUCCUCUGACCAAGAAGCCGGCUGCCCAGAUGCACUAAGCACGCCUCCCUCGCAUAUUCCGGAAAGAAGACCUCUGAACACCAGCUUUGAAAACAAUGCAAGCUUGCCUCUAUGCUGAUCCUUAUCUGCAGCCCUAUUUUUCACUCCCAAAACUAUAGAACCACCUCCCAGUCUCUCCUAAGGGGGGGGGGGGCACAGUCUUUAAGGCAUGAGCCUGCUGUGACCCUCCUUGGCCUGGCAAAGCAAUAAAGCUAUUUUUUUCCCUCCUUCGCCGAAAACUCUUGUCUCUGCAUUUCUGUUUGGCACCGAUGACAGAGGCCAAGUUCUGGCAGGAAUGUUAUUGAGGAUGAAGAAAUGGCUCUUAUUGUUAGUAUGGGAAAAGAAAGAAAGAAAUAAGCUGCAUACAGCGCGUGACGUAAAUGCAUACUGAUGAAAGUGCCCAGGUGAUACUUGUGUGUAAUUUUAGCCCUACUUGUAUUUUUUUUUUUUUAAUUGAUAAUCUGGUGAAUGAGACAGCGUGGCCUUUAAGAAGAUACCAGGAUUUAGGAGAUACGUAUUUUGUACUUCAAUAUACUACGGCAUUUCUAGAUCCAGAAUUUUUUGUUAUUCCAGUGCACAGCAGACUAGAAUUGUCUUUUCUGGGUGCAUGAUACAAGCUAAAAUCAGCAAAGGUCAGUGGGAUGUCAUGAGUUUCCGAGAGGGGUUAGAAGUCUAAAAGUAAUAAUUCCAUCACCAGUUAACCUGCCAACUAAAAAAUGUUGUUAGAUCCUGUGCACAUGCAGCGUCGGAGGAUCGUAGGAUGUUUGUUCAUGACUGGAAUUCCUUGUCAAGCCACUCUGAGAACAUGUGAUUUUUGAGACCUUGCCCCGUAACAACCAAGCAAGAUGCCAGGCCCGUGUUACACAGAGUGAAAUUGUAUUGCCUGUCAAUUAGCAAGGCCAAGUUAGACUAGCACUGUGUAGCCUUACAUGGUCUCUGACUUAGAUGUGGGACACGAGUGACGUGAAGGGGGCCAGUCGGGAGACAGAUAAUGCAAAAAUGCUCGAGGUGGCUUUGCUUGAGACGACUGCAGAGCUAUUCCCAUACCAGGCAGGUGGGUGAUGGUUGAAAUGUGAAAUGCAUGGAAAUAAAAACAUCGCAUUAAAUCUC